GGGGUUGUGGCUCAGAGGUAAAGUGCUCGUCUAGCAUGUGUGAGGCAUUGGGUUCAAUCCUCAACACCACA
rnacentral:tRNA from 1 species